ensembl:lncRNA
CUUCAUUCAGACUCCUCCCUGCAUCUGCUUGAUAUCACUCUGCAGCUUGCAUCAUCUAUGUGUAUAUAUCACGGAGCAACUGUUUUAAAAUUCGGCUGAAUACUCAAUAUUUCAGGCCUUUUCACCAAGAAUAGCUGACCUUGCUCUUCUGAACACUUCUGCUUGAACACACUUAUCUGUCCUCCUGGGAGAGUAAGAAGAGAUGUAUUAUGACUUCUAAGAGGAAUUUGAAGUAGAGGUUGACUCCAGCAAAGCAAUCUGGAGAGGGAGGAUGCCACUCAUGUCGCCUUGGAACUGCUGAGUAAAAUCAAGAUAAAGAAGAUAGAUAAAUAUGAAAAUAAGCGAAUGGAAAAGUCAUACAGAUCACAGAGCUGAUUUUCUGAAGGAGAUGCAAAUAUGAGCACAGUGAACUCGUCUAGUACCUUAUUGCCUGUCACUAUCUCCAAAUCAAAAUAUUUCAAGAUUCUUUCACAAUUAAGGAACGUGAAGGUUCUUCAAAGUGUGGACUUGAAGUUUUCUCCCUAACCAGUCGCCAAUACUAUUAAAUCCUUUCCGAAACAAUUAAACUGUUUUAAAACCAGAAAAAGGAGAAGGAGCACGUGAAACCAUCAGGAAGGAAGUUGAAAGAAAUCCAGGGGAAGUUAAAAGCCUAAGUUAACUAUUCCCUGUAAGGAGAAUUAUUUGCUAUAGGAUAUUUUGGAUAAAGAAAUUUAUGUGGACUAAAAAAGUGACUGCACGAAUAUAUGGAGUGACUAUUAAAAAUAAAAACACCACCUCUUGCUGAGAAAGACUCUGAAUCUUGAAAACUAAGUCAAUAUUCUCAGGAAGUAUCGCUUUACAUUUAACCUGUUGUUUCCCUCUGCUCUAGACACCAUAACUGGCUGCUGGGUGCUUCUGCAGAGAGGUCACUUGGCUCAAGAUUCAUUUGGUCUAUACUAAAAUAUCUUAUACAUAUCAGCAUGGUCUAACUGUUGAUAAGUUCAAAAAUAUAAUGCAUAUGUAUUUAAUGACAUACAAAGUCAUUCACCACUUGCACAAAGCUUAAACCAGCACAACCCCGGGAUAUGACUUACUACAUUACAGUAAACAAUGAAGGAAUUGAAUUCUAGGCACUGUUUGCAAUAGACACAAGUGAAAAGGUGCAGAGUGGUUAUUCUGUGGUCUACAGCUUUCUGUUGCCAGAUUCUACUGUUUGUGUCUCUUAACUAAUCACUAUAUAUGUCAGUUUAAGAUUACUUUAAGGAGCAGAAUAACUCAGUAUGUUUUUCCAGUAAGAAAAUUGCUAUGUGUCCACAGUGUGGCAGUGUCUAGGUACAGAUAUGUCCUGCAUAAGUGCAAAAUAUUCUCAGUCAAUUUCACAGUCACAUCUCUUGCUAUAUUUCAUCUGUUGUUCCUUUUUUUCUCCUGUCUUCCUUUCUCUGUAAUAAAUUGAUCCAAGUGUAUUCUGCAGCUGUCAACCUACCUUUGCUGAAAUUUAAAACUUAUGAAAAAUAUUUUAGUUACUGUAUGUUCUGGACAUUUGAGAAAAUAUAUUAAACUACAACUUUGCUUUCUACUUUCACAUAUUUGUCCAAAGUUUUUAUGGUUGACUCAAGUGACACAGAUAAGAUUUGUUUAAUUCUGG